AGAGUUUGAUCCUGGCUCAGGAUGAACGCUAGCGGCAGGCUUAACACAUGCAAGUCGAGGGGUAUGCUCCUCCGGAAGUAGAGACCGGCGCACGGGUGCGUAACGCGUAUGCAAUCUCACCUUUACAAGAGGGAUAGCCCAGAGAAAUUUUGGAUUAAUACCUCAUAGUAUUAUGAAAUGGCAUCAUUUUAUAAUUAAAGUCACAACGGUAAAAGAUGAGCAUGCGUCCCAUUAGCUAGUUGGUAAGGUAAACGGCUUACCAAGGCUACGAUGGGUAGGGGUCCUGAGAGGGAGAUCCCCCACACUGGUACUGAGACACGGACCAGACUCCUACGGGAGGCAGCAGUGAGGAAUAUUGGACAAUGGGCGCAAGCCUGAUCCAGCCAUGCCGCGUGCAGGAUGACGGUCCUAUGGAUUGUAAACUGCUUUUGUACAGGAAGAAACACUGGUUCGUGAACCAGCUUGACGGUACUGUAAGAAUAAGGAUUCGGCUAACUCCGUGCCAGCAGCCGCGGUAAUACGGAGGAUCCAAGCGUUAUCCGGAAUCAUUGGGUUUAAAGGGUCCGUAGGCGGUUUAAUAAGUCAGUGGUGAAAGCCCAUCGCUCAACGGUGGAACGGCCAUUGAUACUGUUAAACUUGAAUUAUUAGGAAGUAACUAGAAUAUGUAGUAGCGGUGAAAAUGCUUAGAGAUUACAUGGAAAUACCAAUUGCGAAGGCAGGUUACUACUAAUUGAUUGACGCUGAUGGACGAAAAGCGUGGGUAGCGAACAGGAUUAGAUACCCCCGUAGUCC
rnacentral:rRNA from 1 species